UACGAAGGGGACUAGCGUUGUUCGGAAUCACUGGGCGUAAAGCGCACGUAGGCGGAUUCGUAAGUCAGGGGUGAAAUCCCGGGGCUCAACCUCGGAACUGCCUUUGAUACUGCGGGUCUUGAGUCCGAUAGAGGUGGGUGGAAUUCCUAGUGUAGAGGUGAAAUUCGUAGAUAUUAGGAAGAACACCGGUGGCGAAGGCGGCCCACUGGAUCGGUACUGACGCUGAGGUGCGAAAGCGUGGGGAGUAAACAGG
rnacentral:rRNA from 1 species